GAUGAACGCUGGCGGCGUGCCUAAUACAUGCAAGUCGAGCGAACGGACGAGAAGCUUGCUUCUCUGAUGUUAGCGGCGGACGGGUGAGUAACACGUGGCUAACCUACCUAUAAGACUGGGAUAACUUCGGGAAACCGGAGCUCAUACCGGAUAAUAUUUUGAACCGCAUGGUUCAAAAGUGAAAGACGGUCUUGCUGACACUUAUAGAUGGAUCCGCGCUGCAUUAGCUAGUUGGUAAGGUAACGGCUUACCAAGGCAACGAUGCAUAGCCGACCUGAGAGGGUGAUCGGCCACACUGGAACUGAGACACGGUCCAGACUCCUACGGGAGGCAGCAGUAGGGAAUCUUCCGCAAUGGGCGAAAGCCUGACGGAGCAACGCCGCGUGAGUGAUGAAGGUCUUCGGAUCGUAAAACUCUGUUAUUAGGGAAGAACAUAUGUGUAAGUAACUGUGCACAUCUUGACGGUACCUAAUCAGAAAGCCACGGCUAACUACGUG
rnacentral:rRNA from 1 species